CCUAUUGAAGUCUAGUUGAAAAAUUACUCUGGGAUGGCCUAUCUAACAACUUUUCAAGAAUUUUCCUGAAAGACCUGGUUGAUCAGAAUAUUAGCUAUCCAGCAUUUAGAAUUUAGUUCGGUGAUAGAGUACAUUUCUGACAUGCCCAAGAACAUGGUUUCAAUCCAAAUCACCAACAGAGUAAUAAAGCAAUAAUAAUAAUGACAAUAAUAAAUAAAAAUGAAAAUAUUUUCUGUCUACAAAACAACCAAUAGUUCAAAAAUGUUUGCUUGCUCAUCUGAAUAACUCUAUGGAUGCUAUAUUCAUCAUAGUGUCUAAUAGAUAUGGUGACACAAAUUGGUAGCUGCAUGUUGCCCUGAUUCUUCUAGAACCUAUUGGUGCCAAGCAUCUCUGGACCAGGAAGACUCUCACCUUUGAUUUGAAGGCAGACAAAAUGAAAACACUAUAUAGCAUGCUCUCAGUUUCCUUGUUUUCCUAGCUAGCUUCUUUGGUCCCACCCUUACUUUCUCUUCCUUUUAGCUUUUCCAAAGGAACCUCUAGUGUUGGAAGCUUGAUUCUUUACAUUUUACAUUCUUUGUAUGAAUCAUUUUCACCCCUUCUGGCCUAACAAUGUAGCAAAUUUUUCUUAGAAUAUGAUUUCUAUGUCUUUGUUUUUUGAGCUCUUCACAACUUCCAAGUGACAUGCUCAGAAUGAAAGCAAGAUUUAUGCUUGUACUUGAACUGCUUGUGUCCUGAACUAUAGGAACAAAUAGUUGUUUAUUUAUAUUUCCCAAUGGACAUCCUAUUGGUGGCUCCAAAAUAUGCUGUCUGAAGAUGAAGAUCUUUGGAGUCACCUUAAAAUAUAAUUGACAUGUAGAGGCAAAGACACGCUGAGUCAGAGUGAACUUUUAAACAUUAUCUACAAGAGAUGAUUCAUUACAGUUUCAAGAGUGAAAUUGUUUGGCUUCCAAUAGCUCUACCUUAACUUGAAUGUAACUUUGUGUUUCCCUAGUAUUUCCACCCUCAAAUGAAAGUUUAGAAAGAGCAGUAAUCUUUCCAAAGUGAAUUUUAGAUAUCUGUAGAUUUGUGGAUCACUCCAUAACAAUUCAUACUUCUUUCUAAUUCCCUAAUUUAUUUUUCUGCCUAUAUACUUUUUGUAGGUAAUAGCAACAUAUUUUGUGUUACUAAAUUUUACACAUUUAUAAUCAGUUGUGAUAAACAAAAUUAACACUGUGGGGUCACUUCUUCAGUGCUCAAUUUUUUUUUCCAACUAUGACUAAGUAAAGAAUAUUGGGAAAAUUUUACUCAACUUAUAAUUCAACUUUGGAACUGAAAACUCACAAAUUCUUUCCAUACAUUGAAAUCCCUGCUUUAUUCCUUCUCAUAUGUGACUUGAAUUUGUUUCUGUUCACUGAGU
rnacentral:lncRNA from 1 species